rnacentral:rRNA from 1 species
GGCUCAGGAUGAACGCUAGCUACAGGCUUAACACAUGCAAGUCGAGGGGCAGCAUGAAGUUUGCUUACAAACUUGAUGGCGACCGGCGCACGGGUGAGUAACGCGUAUCCAACCUGGCCCGCAGUAGGGAACAGCCCGGCGAAAGUCGGAUUAAUGCCCUAUGUCUUCCUUUGCAGGCAUCCAAUGAGGAAGAAAGAUUUAUCGCUGCGGGAUGGGGAUGCGUCUGAUUAGCUUGUCGGCGGGGUAACGGCCCACCGAGGCUACGAUCAGUAGGGGUUCUGAGAGGAACGGUCCCCCACACUGGUACUGAGACACGGACCAGACUCCUACGGGAGGCAGCAGUGAGGAAUAUUGGUCAAUGGGCGAGAGCCUGAACCAGCCAAGUAGCGUGCAGGGAACCGACUCGCCCUAGUGGGUUAGUAAACUGUCUUUUAUGCGGGGAUAAACUUCAGCACGUGUGCUGUUUUGCAGGUACCGCAUGAAUAAGGACCGGCUAAUUCCGUGCCAGCCGCCGC